AUAGUUUUAGUUUAAAUAGAACAUCUGUUUUUGGUACAGAAGGUUAAAACUAUA
rnacentral:tRNA from 1 species